UACGGAGGGGGUUAGCGUUAUUCGGAAUAACUGGGCGUAAAGCGCACGUAGGCGGAUCAGAAAGUUGGGGGUGAAAUCCCAGGGCUCAACCCUGGAACGGCCUUCAAAACUCCUGAUCUAGAGUUCGAGAGAGGUGAGUGGAAUUCCGAGUGUAGAGGUGAAAUUCGUAGAUAUUCGGAGGAACACCAGUGGCGAAGGCGGCUCACUGGCUCGAUACUGACGCUGAGGUGCGAAAGUGUGGGGAGCAAACAGG
rnacentral:rRNA from 1 species